AGGAACAAGUCUCCUCGAAUGCACGGCUGAAAUUGAAAGUGGCAGGAGCCCUGUGCAGAAAAGUGCCACACUACCUCAAGCCAUGCGACACAAGACCCUAGGACCCUGCUACUUCUGUUUGCAAGGCUCUACAGGGGCAGCUCAGCCUCUCCUCAGUGCUGGGAUUAUAAUUGUGAAUCUACACCUAGCUCUUUCUCACUUGCUGCUCAAGCCACACCAUGCAAAACACCCCUGCCCUGAUUUCUCACUUCCUCAAAUAUACGCUGUUAUAUCCAGAGGCAGUGAAGAGAGAGACCUGCUUCAUUGGAGACAGAUGUUGAAAACACAGCUGCCCCUACAUCAAGACGGACUGCAGACUUCACCCUGACAAGGGAGACAGGAUCUCUGCAAGAACAAUAUAGACUUUUAACCACUAAGCCAUUUUAUUUUAGCUCAUAGGAUUUGUGUGUGUGUGUGUGUGUGUGUGUGUGUAGGGGUAUUUGUUUGUUUGUUUCUUUUUUUUAAGAUUUAUUUAUUUAUUAUUUUAUGUAUGUGAGUACACUGUCCUCAGACACACCAGAAGAGGGCAUUGAAUCCCAUUACAGAUGGUUGUGAGCCACCAUGUGGUUGCUGGGAAUUGAACUCAGGACCUCUGGAAGAGCAGUCAGUGCUCUUAACCUCUGAGCCAUCUCUCCAGCCCCCUGUUUGUUUGUUUCUUGAAACAAAGUCUCUCUGUGUAGCCCUGGCUGGCCUGAACUCAAGACCAGACUGGCUUUGAACUGUCAGAGAUCCAUCUGCCUUUGCCUCCCAAGUGCUGGGACCACCUCCACCACUCAGCAGCUUUUUUUCUUAAACACCAUCUUAUGCAGCCAAGUCUUGAACCUCACUAGUAGCCAAGGACGAAUCUUGAGCUUCUGAUCCUCGUGGCUUAACCUCUCUAGUGCUGAGGCCAUAGGUACUCACACCACACCUGGUUUUCUGCUGUGCAGGGGGAUAGACCCUAGAACUUUGUGAUUCUAGAAAAGCCCUUCACAAGUGCUGGAAUUAGACAUGAGUUACUAACCACACUCUGGGAUUACCUCAGAAUUUUAGCAUGUGAAUUAUUUUGUCUGUGACACACUUGCUAAAGAUCAUUUUCCUUGUCUCCUCUCACCCAGUUCCCUCUCUGUAGAAGCAGACCUAUCAGAUUGAGAGCAAGGGUCACACAUCUAGUCCAUACCUCUCUUGCUGUCUUGUUCUCCCCUGCCAUGUGGCUCCCGAUGGCUUAAUACUCAUUAUGUAGCCUAGCUGGCCUUGAACUUUCUGCAGUCCUGCCUUAGCCUGUCAAACACUCAUAAUCCUUUUUAAAACAAAUAUGAUCUGGGACCAGAGUGAUGACUUAGCUAAGAGCAUUGGCUGUUCUUCCAGGCUUGGUCGUGGCAUGCACAGAGUCACAGCUGAAAGUCACAGCUGUCCUCUGUGAUCCUGAGACCCUCUUCUGAUCUCUGUUGGCACCAGGUGUGCAUGUGGCACAGACAGAUGUGCAGGUGUGGUGUGUGCACAAGCGAGUAUGGAGGAAGGAGUUGACAUCUGAUGUCUCCCUCCAUCACUUUUCACUUCAUUUUUUCCCACUCCAACCCCAGAUUUUACAUGGUUACAGAGAUCCAAAUUCAGAUUUUCAUGCUUGCACAGCAGGCAAUGACUCCCCAGAAUAACCACUGUGGGCACUAUUCCCCGGAGAGGUUGGGAUCCAUGUCCACUCUCCUGAGACACACAGCUGACAAUAAUCCAACCUCAUGGAACAGUGAGUUUUGUUGGGUGGUUACUUAGAGGAGCAGAAAUGAUUUAAAGACAGCUGCAUCAUCAAAGGAGAUCCCAGCAAGGGUGACAGCUCACAAAGCUGGGGACUGCACAGUCUGCAGGCAGCUCAACAGGUUGGAAGGUGACUUUCCCAUGGCUCAGCUGGUGUAACAUUCUUCCAGACUGCUUGGUCAGAGUCUCUUCCAAGCAGCUUGGCUUCUCUGAAAGUCUUCUAGGCAGCUUGGUUGGUCUCUACAUCUUUAGUUGACUCAGCUUCCUUGAGUCUUUGGGCAGCCUCAGUUUGCCUGAGAGUAACUCCUAACAGUCUUUACCGCUAUAUUGUUGGGAAGGGAGAGACCUAGUGGAUUUAAUCAAUUUCAGGGACUUCCUAAAGCUAUUUUGGCUUGUUUACUUCCUGUCUUUUUUUUUCUUUUUUUCGGAGCUGGGGACCGAACCCAGGGCCUUGCGCUUGCUAGGCAAGCGCUCUACCACUGAGCUAAAUCCCCAAGCCCUAAAAUAUUUUAAAAAAGAUUUAUUUAUUUAUUUAUUUUAUGUCUAUAAGUAGACUGUCACUGUCUUCAGACACACCAGAAGAGGGCAUCUGAUCCUGAGAGAUAGAGUUUUAAAUUAGCCCAAAACUCAACAACAGGACCUGUCUCUGGAAGACAGAUUGUUAAAAAUGCAAGAGAACUACUUUGCUUAUCACCCAGUGUGAGUGACUGUUCUUUGCUCUGCCCCUGUGAUGUUUAUUUAAGCCCCUACUUGUGCUUUCCAGCCAUUGCAUCCUGCAGAGAGCACUCCAGGAACCAGGGGGCCAUAAAACCUUCUGGGCCCCCUAAUCUCCUGGAGCCAUAAAACAAUCCUGUGACUUGGGUGCCUUCCCCUUUGACACCCCCAAUCCCCUGGGCUCACAGCCUCUGCCUUUAAAUACUCUUUCUCCCAGCCUCUCGGGCCGGGCCGAUGCCUCUGUCUCCUGCGUGAGAUAUGUGUCGGCCCGGAGAUCUCUAUAAUAGGUCUCCAUAAUAAACCUCGCCUUUGCUUAUUACAUCCAAAAUGGUCUUUCUGUGUCUGGGGUCUGCGAUUUCCCAAGACUUGAGUAAGGGUCUCUCUGCGUGGGAUCUUUCAGUUGAUUCAGCUCCUCAUGAGGCUUUGAUAAGAUUCUGAAUUUGAGGCCAUUCUGGACAAACCAGUCAAACUCUACCUUAAGGAAAAGACAGAAAACAUUGAAAGUCAAUCAUGUGUAUGUUUCUAAGUGUAUGCCCAUGUAUGCAGGUGCCCACAAAGGCCAGAGGAAGGGCUGGAUCCUCUGGAGCUGGAUACAAGCAGAGUUGUAAACUACUGGGUGUGGGUGCUGGGAACUGAGCACGGUCCUCUGGAAAAGCCACAAGCACUCUUAUCAGGGAGCCGUCAUUCCGUUCUGUAGGGUGGAUCUUCAUGUCUGUGGACUAGGGAGAAGCAGAAGCCACAAAGAAUUUCAAACAGUUGUGUCAGCCUCAGGCAAAGGCAAGGACAAGAGACAGCAAGAAAGUCCUGGGUAAGGAUGGAAAGAAAAUGAUCUGUGUGAGCAAAGGACAUGCUUAGCCUUGGAAGCAUCUUUCUGCUCUGGCUUCCAGUGGAGCCAAGCUAAAGGUAAGACUUAGAAAAUGGCCAUGAAGAUCCACGGGCUCAGCAAGAUCUGGUGGCACACAACUUUAAUCCCAGCACUCAGGAGACAGUGGCAAGUGGGUCUCUGAGUUCAAGACCAGCCUGGUCUACAGAGUGAGUUCUAGGACAGCCAGAACUAUACAGAGAUACCCUGUCUCAAAAAAUCAAUGAGUAUAGUUGAACUUUCCAAGGACUUUGGUCCUUCUGGCUCUGACUGGUCUCAAUGUCUCUUGGUCCUAAGGCUUUCUCUCUUUCCAACUAAGUAUUCUUCCUUCUUUCGGUUCUUUUCUCCCCCAAAAGGGCUAUCUCAUCUCAUCGAAAGACUGUGUACUCUUUUGACCGUUGCCCUCAGACCUUCGGGGGAGUUAUGAAAUGUAUUACAUAAGCAUGAUUGGUUAAAAUCAUUGACCGCUGCUUUAGUUGCCCCUCUUAUAAGCCUUGGGAAGUCAAGGGUAGAGCAGAGAAUUCUCUCCUCUCAUUUCAUGGUUGGUUCUCCUGGCAACAAGCACCAGUCAUCCUAGCACGCCUCACACCACAAAUUAUAAGGAUUUCAAAACAGACUGUGAAGCGGGAUGAAAGCCAAAUACCUACCUACUUUAUACUGAGUCCCUCUCACUCACAUGACAUCACUACGCUAGUAAUUUUUCUCUAGUCUACUCUUUAGCUAGCUUACGCUUGUAACCCAGAGGUUGGGGGAUGGCAACAGGAUGAUCAGGAAUUUGAAGCCAGCCUUGACAAACAAAGCUUGAGUAAACCCUCUCUCAAAAAAAAAGUCCACUACCCUUUAGGUUAUAUUAAUAUAGCCACUCCCUCUUCUUCAAAGUCUUCAUAAGCUUCCCCUUAAAAACUAGUUAUGGGGGACUGGAGGGAUGGCUCAGUGGUAAAGAGCACGGGUGCUCUUCCAGAGGACCUGGGUUCCUUUGUACCCAAAUGGUGGCUCACAGCCAUCUGCAACUCUGGUUCCAGGGGAUCUGAUACCUUCUAGUUUUGGUGUACACAGCUUGCACAUGGCACACACACAUACAUGGAACACCCAUACAUAUAAUCUGUUGGGAGCCAUCUCAGAUAGGCUAAAGCUAACAGCUGGCCUUCCUGGAGGUGGCCCACCUUUUCACAUGAACUAAGAGCUCUGAGAGGCAAGGCCUGAGAGCCUUCAUCUCAGGAUUGCUUCUUGCAGGUGAAACGCCUUUCCAGUCAUUAUUGAAUUAAUAUAAUAACCCCUGGGCAUUAACCCACCUAUUGAGCCACUCAGAUCCUGCAGAUCAACAUGAUGAUGAACUUUCAUGAAUUAAUGCUGUUUAAAUGAAUCUGAUUUUGGGGUUGGGGAUUUAGCUCAGUGGUAGAGGGCUUGCCUAGCAAGCUUCAAGGCCCCGGGUUAGGUCCCCAGCUCUGGAAAAAAAAAAAAAUCUGAAUUUAUAUAGA
rnacentral:lncRNA from 1 species